rnacentral:lncRNA from 1 species
CAGCCAUUCAAAUAAUUAUUGGUCAUUAUCUAAAAAUAAACACUCAACGGUGAGGGUUAAAAGUAUUUUUAGCCCUGAUUCUAUUAGUUAUCAUGAUUCACCAAUUGUUACCGCAUGACAGAACAGUACAGUGGAGGGGCGGGCUCAGCCAACCGGCUGAAAAGCCGUUGUCAAACUUCUGCUUUCUUUCAUUCCUAGGAAGUGAAGCACAUGACCCGAGCCAGCUGAUGUCCAAUACUCGUGCAAAGUUCUGUGCGCUCCGAGUAGUUUAGCGACUUGAGGGGCGGUUGGACUUUUGAUGCUGGAGAUCGGCUACAGUGACUAACCACUUUUGAUACAGCAGGUCUUGGCUUGGCAAUAGCGAAAUGGCCACAGAGAAACAUCGUAAAGGCUAUCGAGUUGGAAUACAGCAACAAGGCUGACAGCGCUUUCUGAUUUUGACGUUAUUUUGAAAUGGAACCGCGGACGCAGGACCCAGCGGGAGAGGCUGUGACGAGGGUCAACAGAGAGACCGGGGAGCUGAGUGCGUCCGGGGAGUUGGCUCUUCCAGUCCAGACGGCAGAUAAGCUGGAGGGAGUCGAGGACAACCGGGCCCCACGGGCCCCGGGGCCGCUACUGAAGGCUCUGACCCAACUGUUACACGAGCUGAGGACUGCUGCUGGCCCCGGCCCCGACCACAGCCAACGGGAGCGUCUCCUGGAGGCCCUGGCUCUCUACAGACAGCUCGGUGGGGCUGGCGUCCGGGCCGAGGGACUGGACCUCAGCGGGCUCCGUGCGCUCGCGUCUGAAGCCGUGGUGCUGGACAUCAACAGCAGACUGACUGAGAAACCCGCAGAGGAGGCUCGUCACGAGGUGGUGGAAUUCUUCCAGAAGGUCGCUCCUGAGGCAGACACCCCAGCCAGAGCCAACCCAGGGUGGCUCCUCCUGGGCUCCCUGCAGUCUCUGCUGGCCGCGGAGAGCUCGGUGAGCUCAGCGCUAAAUGUCUCCUCACAGAUCCUCGGCACUUGGCAGGCCCGUGCUGUAGUCAUGCUCGGUCAGCAGUCAGCCCAGCGUGGGGGCCGCGGGCUAGACGUUUCCCUGUCGCAUGCUGUCCCCUCACUACUGUUUCAUCAUCGCUUUCUAAUUUUGUUUUAGAGACAUGACAGCUAAAGCGUCUCUGAGGGUCACGUGAUCAUCACAGCUCAUGUUCUCUGCUCCCAAAUGUUCGUUAACGUUUAAAAUCCAUUGUCAGUAAUAUGUUACAAUGUGUUCAUAGCAUUCACCAGGACAAUUAGAAUUUCGUGCCAGUGGAUUGCCAACUAAUCCCCAUGUAAAGAUAAACUUAGUUAGUAUUACAACAUGCCUAUCUCUUGUCUCUAAAAUUGACAAAAUACACUCAAUAUUACCCCUUUGGACAAGAAAAAUCUAUCUGCGUGUCUUAACUUGAGGUGUUGUAAGGUGUAUGCUGAACACACUUCAAUGAAAUACAAUCCCUCAAAGUCCAAACUCUUACAGUGUCAGCUUCUACACAGAAUACUUGCUGAGUCGGCCCUGGGUCGAGUCAGCCAGCAGUCCAUUAGUGAGCGUAUCGUGUGUUGUAUUGUAUUACCCUUUAGGAUGUCUUGUCGAGGAUCAAGCCGGACUUCCCAGCUGCGCUGGUGAAGUGUCUCUAUCUGCUGGUGUGCCUCCCAGCCAGGAACAACAGCACUCCCAAGGAAGAGACCUUCCAGGACCUUCUAACACAGGUGAACCAUAGUAAAUAAUCCAACCAAUCACCCAGGGCAGGUCUGUCACCUGAAUACAUUCUAUUUACUAUUGUACUAUUUAGUAGUGACUUGGAGACAGUUCAUAAAGAUACAGUGUAUAUGUCUAUAAAGGGCCCCUAUUUUACACCAGCUGUGAUUGUGAUUAGCCAUUACAAGCCGUUUCAAAAUCGACCCAGCUCAAUAAAAACAAUGGAAAAGUUGAACGCGACACAUUAAACCAAGAGCUCCCUCUGCACGUCUUCCUCCCCAAGAAUGCAGAGGAACGUCUCCACCUCCUUGUUCGCCCAAUCAAGCGUUUUACGCGACAUGUUCAUUGUAAAGAAUAAUACCUCGAGGCUACUGUUUGUAGCCUCUGAGGAGUACUGAAGACGAGGGCAAAACGAGUACGGCUCAGUCCGGGUCACGCCCACUUUUGGCGGUGGAAACGCAAUCCGUACCGCACCUUUGCGAACCGUACCGCACCCUGCAGUGGAAACGCACCAAUAGUCUGCGGACACCGGGGAUCAAACCCAGUUCCUUUUGGUGCUCCCCCCUCACCACUCUAACAUCCCUCCCCUCAGGAUAGUGUAGUCGUUUAAGAUGUGGUUCAGCUCGCUAAGUCCUAAUGUUCUCCUUCUGGUCUUCGACCUCCUUCCCUGCCUCCUCGCUAUGCGUUCCCCAGGUGCUCCUGCAGCUCUGCAGGGCGCCCGCGUGCGUGGAGACGAUGGUGGACACCCAGGAGCUGCAGUGUCUGAUGAUCGGCCUGACGUCUCUCUGGGACCAGACCAGCGGGCCCUGGAGGCUCCAGGCCUCCCGCGUGCUCAGGGCUGUGUCGGCCGCACGGCCACGCAACGUCGUCCCGGCCCUGCAAGGUGAGGGGUUGUUCCCGUGUGACCCCACUCUGCCCACAGUCCUGGAGCGAACAAAUCGGUGUUUAAACAGUCCCACUAGCAGAGGACACAAGUGGUUUAUUUAUAGUAUCAGGAACAGACUCUUUGUGAGAGUAGACACUUAAUAGUCGACUGCUGUUAAGUGUUGUACUGAGAGUCUGUUCAAAGGUUUAAUGUAAGCUUCAUGGGGCCACUGAACAUGUAUUUGUAGUCCUCUACAAAUCAAUUUUUAUUUUAUUUUAUUUCGCAGCACUUUUCACAGCACAAGUCGAUUUUUAUAGAGAUGCCGAUUGUUUACAUCUCUAUGUCAAGCUCUCUACCAAAGCCUGUUAGGUAUAAAUACCAAGCAGACUCAAUGGGGGGAAAUGGGGAAACUCCCUUGACAAGAGGACAUUGAGUGAGACACAGGGUUAGCACAGCGAUGUGAACAACUGGACUCUCUAUAAAUAUCGACUUGUGCUUUGAAACGAGCUGUUGAAGCUCCUCUUCUUCUAUUCGGCUACAGGCCUAUGCUGGAGAGCCUUAGCCUGUAUUCAGAAAACUAAUGCUAAUGCUAAUUACUUAAUCAUACAUUUGCACCCUCGACUGUUUUUUUCAUAACUUGGUUCCACCUUAAUGGUUGGAACGUGUUCCGUAGCAUUUUCAGGUUCAGUUUCGAAUGGCCCUUGUUGAUUCUGAGGAACCGUCCAAUUCAAUGUCCCAGUACAGGUGUUUAUUUCUAAGUCGUUUGGGGAAUAACGAACUAUAAAGGUUUUAACUAAACCAAUGACUAGAAAUAAAUGUGUUUUUAU